rnacentral:rRNA from 1 species
CGCCAGCCCGCUCAGAAACUCAAGGAAUUGACGGGGGCCCGCACAAGCGGUGGAGCAUGUGGUUUAAUUCGAUGAUACGCGAGGAACCUUACCUGGGCUCAAAUGUAUGUUGACGUAUUCUGAAAGGGAUACUUCUUCGGACAAUAUACAAGGUGCUGCAUGGUUGUCGUCAGCUCGUGCCGUGAGGUGUCGGGUUAAGUCCCAUAACGAGCGCAACCCCUAUCAUUAGUUGCCAUCAGGUCAAGCUGGGGACUCUAAUGAAACUGCCUACGCAAGUAGUGAGGAAGGUGGGGAUGACGUCAAAUCAGCACGGCCCUUACGUCCAGGGCUACACACGUGCUACAAUGGCCGGUACAAAGGGCAGCUACCUGGUGACAGGAUGCUAAUCUCAAAAGCCGGUCUCAGUUCGGAUCGGAGUCUGCAACCCGACUCCGUGAGGCUGGAAUCGCUAGUAAUCGCGCAUCAGCCAUGGCGCGGUGAAUACGUUCCCGGGCCUU